CUUGGAUUGUUCCUGCCCAAGUCAAAAAGCAUGAGCCACCUCUGCCUCUGCAAGACAUCACUUUUCACACAAGGAAACAUGAAGGUGCGAAAAGGCGGCGGUUUGAUCCACUGCCAGGGCUCUCACCGAGUGACCCAUCUCUGCUUGCUGCCGAUCUCGAAAAGGUGGCAGCAAACUGCCUGCUUCUCCGUUAUAUGAGCAAAGAAAACUCAGGAGAAUCACUUGAUGAACACAGUCCCAGUGAAGUGGCACCAGAAGCUUCAGACACUCCACUGGUCCCAGACAUUGAAGACAUCCACAGUGAGACCUGUCAAAGACUCAUACAAGAGAGGUUUGAUGCUAUACAGGCCCUCUCGGUGGACAGCAGAGCAGUUGUUCUCGAGUCAACGAUUGGACAGGCCGCAAAUCCAACCUGGCACAUGGAGCGGAUUGGUCGGCUAACUGCCUCAAUGUUUAAAAGAAUUGUGCGGUGCCGGAAACCUGACAGUAUUGUUAAAGAGAUACUUUACCCGCGGAGCUAUAAAACUGAAGCCAUGCACUAUGGAAAUGUGCACGAGCCAGAUGCCGUUCAGGCAUAUGAACAGCUAAUGGCCUGCAUGGAUAAGACCAUAACUGUGGGAUAUACAGGCCUGCACGUGCAUGCUGAGCAUCCGUUUAUUGCUGCAUCCCCAGAUAGACUGGUAUUUGAGGGCAGUGACAUGGGGCUGCUAGAAGUUAAA